GGUGUCCCCGAGAAUGGAUUUAUAGCACAAGCCUAGUUUUAUGAGAUUCAUAAGCCUCUUUACGUAUUUUGAAUGAAAUGUGUUCUAAUGCUGUGACCUAGUUUACGAUGAUUUACUUGAUCGUCUCCAUGUACUCAACUCUAGAUGUUUAUGAUGAUGUCUGUUUACUCAUUGGGAUUUUAUAAUCUCACCACCCCAUUUCCAUCCAUUUUAGGCUCAGAAUAGACUGUAGAUAGCUAAUCUCAUCGAUGACUACCAUUGGACUUGCAUUUUUCAAAUUGUAGGUUCACAGUCCUCUUUACUUUUGUUUAUUCGGGGGCCCACUUGUUAUUGUAAAUUAAAUUUCAUACUCUAGUUAUCUGUACUACUGUAUGUAGGAAUUUAUUUUGUGUUUAUGCUAUAAAAAAAUUAUUUACGCAUUGUCUUAAAAAUAUUGUUUUAUAAGAAAAUAGAAUAUUUUACUUAAUAUUUCUUUUAUUUUCUUAAUAUAUCCAAAUGAUCGCAAUUUCAUUUUAAAUGAAGAUUUUAGAUUUUAAAACUCAUUUUUGAUUAUGAAUUAUGUGUUUUGUACUCGUAUGUUACAUAUUAACCGGUUUCGAAAUUUUUGAAAAAAAUGACCAAAAUACCCGUGUGAGAUGAAAAUUAUUGUUUUAUUUGUUUUAAGUUGGAAACAGCUUAAAAUCUUUUAGAACACGAUAUUCGGCAAUGGUUACUCACAGGGAAAAUGAGAAACUGAUAUUAAGCCUUGCGGGAUUCCGGUUAACACUUCAGGUAAUAAGUGUCUAUUGGGACACCACGACGGUUGUCACGAGGUCGAGGGGAGUAUCGGGUCGUGACAAUUUGAUUGGUAUCAGAGCUUUUGGUUUUAAAGAUCUGAGCUUUUGGGUUUAAAGUUGUUUUAAAGUUAUUUUAAAAAUUUACAGUGUCAGUGUGGUCCCGAGUUAAGUUAGGUUUGAUAGAAUAGAAUACGUGCAUUUGCACAUAGAAUUUGGAGUUGUUGAGACUCGUUUUGUUUGUUCUUAUGGAUCUUAUGGGAGCAUAAGUCAUAGACAAGGUGCUAUAUGAACUCUUGUUCCCAGUAAUCCACUUCCUUGUUACUGUCAUGCAAAGGUCAUAAGUAGGGUCGUUGUUCGGGUUUGAGAUGCCACCCGUGACACGAGCUAAUGUUAGAGAGAUCUUAAAACGACUGCUCCUAAUGAAAGAUUAAUGAAAUAAUAUAUUCCUCUGAUUAAGGAUGGAGAAAUUUGGAGUUGGACUAAUAGGCCGUGAUAAUUUAUUCAUUUGGUGGAGUUAUAAUUGAACUCAUGGUUGUCAAUUGGAAAAAGAUUUAUGGACUAUGAGAUUUCAAGAAUUGAUUGGACCUAUUACAGUUCAUGGAUAUAAGCGCAUGAAUUAACUCGAGAGUGAGUCAAUGAUUACUAUAAUUGAUGUGGUGUCAUGAAGUAGGAAGUUAGUAAACAAAUAUGCUCUAAGGAUGAGUUUGAACUUUGCGAUGCAUAGUAGAGGUAGCCAUGGGAUUAAAGGACUAGAUGUGAAAUUGGAAACUUGAGGUUAAAUGACUUGGAAAUGUCGAAUCUAGUCUAAGUGCCAUAUGAAGUUCUAUAAUUGAGAUUGAUAUAUGAAUUACUUGAAAGAUCAAUUUAAAAGUUUAUUCGGUUUAAAGUGUGGCCUAUGAUACGAAUGAUCAAUCUUGAAGGUGAUCUCCCCAGAGUAAGGAAUUUAGAAAAUGUUGAUAUUUGGAUAUACUUUAAGAGAGAGAACUUCUGCAUCCUAAGUUUAGGACAACUUUGAUCUUAUAAUCGCAAAGGCAAGGCGUAAUAACUAAGUAAAUUAUUCACUUAAUAAAUGUGAUUAGUUAUAGAUGAGUAAAGUCAAGAUCUUAACAUUUAGUGGUAUACAAUUUGAUAAUUAUGUAUUUAAGAGUUAUUUGGAGACAAUUCUUUCAUCAAAUUUGCACUAAAUGCUACGAUAAAGGUAUAUCAAUGUUAAUAUGGAAAUGUAUCCAGGAAUGAUCUUAACAUACCACCAAAGGAGAAUUAAACAUGUUGAAAUUAAUGUUCUAAUAGUGUGCNNNNNNNNNNNNNNNNNNNNNNNNNNNNNNNNNNNNNNNNNNNNNNNNNNNNNNNNNNNNNNNNNNNNNNNNNNNNNNNNNNNNNNNNNNNNNNNNNNNNNNNNNNNNNNNNNNNNNNNNNNNNNNNNNNNNNNNNNNNNNNNNNNNNNNNNNNNNNNNNNNNNNNNNNNNNNNNNNNNNNNNNNNNNNNNNNNNNNNNNNNNNNNNNNNNNNNNNNNNNNNNNNNNNNNNNNNNNNNNNNNNNNNNNNNNNNNNNNNNNNNNNNNNNNNNNNNNNNNNNNNNNNNNNNNNNNNNNNNNNNNNNNNNNNNNNNNNNNNNNNNNNNNNNNNNNNNNNNNNNNNNNNNNNNNNNNNNNNNNNGUGCAGUGAUGCUAUAUGGUGAAAUCACUAUACAAUAUGGAAAGGGUAUUUUCGAGUGGGAUUUAUUGACUGAUGAUAAGUGAUGUGCAAUUUGAGAUACAUGUAGCUAUGAAUAAAUUUGGAGAUUUUUGCUUAAGCAAACUCAUACUAAAUGUUAUGGUAAAGAUAUAGGAAUGCUAGUGGCAAAAUAAAUACGUUAAAUCAAUGUUCUGAUCGCACACUUGUGAUAGAAAGUUAGUCUUGUUAAUUGUGGUAUAGACUUAGAGGAAAGCCACACAAUUAUGAAUAAUUGAGGUAGUAGCUUUAAAGGUGGAAGAGUUGCUGGGAUAAAGUGAAUUCAACCAGUUGCAACACCAUAGUAUUGACUAUCAAAGACUGUCGCGUUAAGAACCCCUAAUGGCUAGAAAGCAUAAGCAAAUUGAGAGUGGCAUGAAGAUGAAACUCACGAGUUGAAGAAUGGUCAUUGGUUUUGAUGCUAAGCUUUGUUGUUUGGAAUUUUAAGUGCAUUGGGGAGGUAUUAAGAUAAAGAUGAUGAGUGAAAUUGUAAAAUUUCUUUAUUGCCUUAUAUAUUGGCAUGUAAGAGAAAGAAAAGUUAGAGAAUUUUUGAGAUGGCUACAUAAAAAUAAAUUAACAUGUGGAGUGUUAAGAUGAAUAAUAUGAUGACUGAAGUUAAAUCUUAAGAAAUAAGGAAGAUGAGAGAUUAAGUCUUGUUAAAGACUAAUGAGGAAGCGAGCAAAAUGUUAGAUGAAUGUAUGAGAUACUGAUAAGAGAUGUCAAUACCAAGUGAGGAAAAUGUAAAUAAAGAUUUCAAUAAUGAUAUAGCAAAUGAGUUUAUAUAGAAUAUUGUUACGAGAAUUUACAAAUCUUGUCUUGACUUUGUUGAAAGGAAAGGAUUAGUGACAACACAAGUAAACUAGGUGACAUGCUAGAAACCCUCGGAGAUAAAUUGAAGCAUGAGUAGUUGGGCAUGAUUUAUGAAAAUGAUAUACUUGGUGCAUAAAAGAGCAAAUAAGUGAUUAAGUGUUUCAAGAAUGUUUAAACGCCUUUGAGAAAGAAUUAUAAGUUAUACAUGAUGAGCAUAAGAUGCGUGACUUUGAAACUUGUUGAGGAGCCUAACGGCUAAGUCACAAGUUAAAUGAUCUUAUGCUGUGAGACAUAAGUCUAAGAUAGAUAUCCCCAAGAAAAUGCUCAAGAAGAGUUUUGCUAUGGAUUUUGUGGAAGCUAGCAUUAAGUUAUGUGGCAGUAAAGAGGAAGUCGUAAGUUGGAAGCGAAAUUCGUAUUGACAUUGAAAAGUACUUAGAAGAACCUUAUUUCAAAUCUUACAGUUUUAAGUACAAACUGAAGAUGGUCUAGGAAGAAUGAUAUCACAUUAGUAUGGAAGAACAGAACAAAGAAUGAAUGAAGAUAAUUUGGAUAAGGAAGCUUGAUAAUGAAAAUUUCCUAAGAUAGUAUGGAAAUUGGAAUUUGAAAAUGCUUCAGGCAUGCAUGAUUCGAAUCAGUCUAAGUUUUUAAGUGACAUUUAGCAAGUGAGAUGUGAUUAAUGACAUUGUAAUGUGAGGAUAUAGCAUGAUGAAUGUGAGACCUUGUCAAGCUCGAUUAAAAGACGAUAUUGUACCGAGUGGUACAACUAAGUUAAAUUGAGCCUAGAACUAGUUCAAAUAGAAAUUCUAAAAGGAACUUGAAAAUUUUAAAACCCAUAGAAUGGCUUAGAAUAGUGAUUCAGAGUUCAAGGUUCAGUUUGGAGUCCCUUAGGAAAAUUGACCGAUUAGAGACAAAACGGUCAUUUUACCAUUUAAUGAUAAAAUAGAGAUUUUUAGCCAAGAUUUUAUCACAUUUGACCAAGAAUAAUUAUAUGAAAUAUAAUUAUGAUUAUUGGAGUAUAAAAUGAUGUUUAGCAGUGAAAAAUUGUGAUUCUUGACAUUUUUGGAGCACAAGGGUAAAAUGGUAAUUUUACCACUAGAGGACUAAAUGGGAAUUUUUAUAAAAUGAUUUUUGCCCCAUUUGGUUAAUAUUGAUCAAUAUUAGUGUUAUUUGAGGUUGAAAAGUAGAAAUAAUGUGAUUCCAGUACAUUUUGAAGUAUAGGGGCAAAAUCGUUAUUUUUCUACCCCGGGAGCAAAUCGGUAAAUUUUUCUCCCCAGCACUUGUCAAGACCAAGGGAUUUUAAUUGUGGUAGGAUUGGAUAAAUACCAGAAUAUUUGUGGUGGAAAAUUAAGAAGAAAAAGUCAAAAAGUUAAAAAAAAAUUGAGCCAAUAAGCAUGUGACACGUGGCAUGCUUGAUUAUUUUAUUAUUUUCUAUAGAAAUCAACCCAUUAAAUCCCCAAUUCUCUCACCAUAUUCGGCCUAGGCAACCAGUAACAAGAACAAAGGAAGAACAAAGGGAAAAACAAGAAAACCUAGGUGGAAAUUCAAAGAAAAAGUGAAGAAAUCAAGGAAACAAGCUAGGUAAGUUAAAAUUUCUUUAAUUCUCCUUGAUACCUAGCUUACCCAUUCUUUUGUUCGUGAUUUCCAUGGCUGAAUAUUGAGUUAUCAUGAUGAAUUCAAUUAUGAAAAAUGGGCAUGGAAGAGGAAUUGUUGUUGGAAUAAUUUGAUUUUAGACUAUGUUAGUGUUUAGGGAUAGUUAAGCAUGGUUAUGAACAAAAACACAAAAGAAAUAUUCAAUUUCUCUAGGGUUCCUUGUUGGUCGAACCAUGAGGGCUGAAUAUCAAUGGGGGAUUGUUUUUAUUUCAAGGAAAAUGGCUUGGAAAAUGAUGAAUUAAGGUGAAACGGUUAUGUAGAAAAAAUUUCGGUGCUAGUGCACCAAAUGACCGAAUUUUUCUAUAAGGAACUGUGAGGGUUCUAAUGCUGAAUUUGGCUUUAUUUAAAUGGUAUGUGGUAAAUUAAGGUAUUAGAGGAGAAAUGGAUUAAUUUGGAGGUGAUUUGGACACAAUCGCCAAUUAAUCGGGUGAUCGGUCGAAUUUAAUCGAUACCGCGAUUAAGCGGUAAUCGGACGUAUUUUUGCAUUUACAUAUCAAGCAUUAGUAAUUUAAAUUAGUUUAUAUCAAUUUAGGGACAAUAUAGUAAAUUUCUUGACUUUGUUAUUUGUCAAGAUAGUGAGACGUCCGGAAAAGACAAAGGAAUUGCGCCUGAGGACUAUUAGUCCAAGUGCACCCGAAAUCUGAAUUUUCGAUACCGGUGAGUGGACUUGCAUUUCAAACUUGUUUUGGGGAAUAUGAAAGAUUCUAUCCAACUUGUCUUAGAAAAUGUACCUUGGGAACAAGCUUUUGUUAAAUGGUUUGAUGUUGUGAUAUGUGAUUGCUAUGGAUUCAUGCAUUAUUGCAAUAUGAUGAUAGAUAUAUAUAUGUGUGUGUUGUGCAUGAUGAAUGAUAUUGUGUAUAAUGACUGUAACCGUGAGUGUGCACGAUGUGGGGGGAUGCACAUGAUGGUGCCGGCUAUGUGCACGAUGUGGGGGGAUGUACAUGAGCCGGGAGUGAUUAUGAUGAUAUUGAUGUUUGUCUAUGUAAUUAUGCAUAUCUAGAUUUAUGAAAUGAAAGCUCAUGAAUGUGAUAUAUGGUUGACAUAUAUGUGAAAUUUGACACAUUGUACUUUGAGAAUUUUCAUGAGUUUUAUGUUGAUUUUGUUAGUUUAGCAGGAUGGCUUUUUGUUGAGUGAGGCAAAAUGUUUCUCUUGUUGCUCUGUUUUCGCUGCAGCGAAAUUCAUGCUCGCUGCAGCUAGAAACUCUCGGGUUUAAGGACCUUUCACCAAAACUGGUUCUCGUUGCAGCGAGAAACUCUCAGGUUUGGAGGGGUAGACUGGCCAAAAACUUGCUGCAGCGAAAUUCAUUCUCGCUGCAGCGAAAAACUUUCUGUUUUGUCUCCUAUCUUGUCCAAUUGCUGCCCUAUUUUUCACUUCUUUGCUACCAUAUCUGAGCAUGGACUUCCAACAUUUAGGACAAAAUGAGUUAAGUUUAAAAUGAGGGGUUUUUAAUAUGAAUGGAACUAAAUUGCAUUGUUUUGAAACAAGUGCAUCAUGAUUUUAAAUUCUCCCUUGUUGUUGUUGCUUGUUCCCUUCCUUGUUCACUCACUGGGUUUAUACUCACCAUUUUCAAAUUCAUGUUUUCAGAUCAUGAGGUAGCCGGUAACUAGGACGAGGUGUCCUUGUAGACCUGUGUCCAUCUUUUGGUAUGUGUCUCGGCAUUCGGUAGCUGUAUAUUCAUCCGAGUCACUCCGUUGGAAGUCGAGUGUUAUUUUAUUUUGUAUAGACGAACUUAAUGUAAAUUAUUAGAAUACAUGUUGUAGACAUUGUAUGUAAAAUUUUAAGGAGUAAUGCUAGUACGAGUUGGCAAUGUAUAUCAUUAUUUUGAUUCAAAGUUAUGAAAUAUGACUUAGUGAUAUUAGAUGGAAUUAUAAGUAAGAUAAAUAAUAAGCUUGCUUGGGUUUAGUAGAUUACGUCCAUUGGACCCUUGCGCCGGUCAUGGCCCAGAAUUUGGGUUGUGACAAUGAAACUCAAGCAUAUGAUUAGAAAUUAUAUAAAUAAUAAAUCGGUUUUAAUAUAUAUAUAGAUUUGGGGAAAAGGUAUAUAGCUUAUAGGUGAAUAUGUGCAAUCGAAUUCAUGUAAUCAAAGGUGUGAAAAUCUACCUUGAUUGGCAUAAGCCCAUGACUCAAAAUGAUUAAUUAUGGAUUUAAUCUUCUAAGGAAAAAGGGGCUGAAGAAUCUUGAUAUCAGAAAGAUCUUAAUUAAUGAUACUUUGAUUUUAAAGUGUACGUGAGGGGAGAUAAAUGUUUAUUUUCAUUUCCAGAUUGAUAAACUAAUGAGGCCAUGAGAUCUAGCGUUUGAAUGUAAAUUUGAGGAAUCACAAGUUGAAUAUGUUUGUAUGUGACGUAUAACUAACUAGUUGGUUAUGACCUAGGAAUUUUAAGGAUUGAUUAAGUCCAUAAGGAUACAUCCAAAAGUAUGUUUAUUUAUUUAAAUGUAUGGUGGUAAUAGUCGACAUCUACUUAAUAAGUACUUGAUCAUAAAAAAAUAUGAGAGUUUCUUUUUAAGAAUAUGGUUACUAAUGGUUACCAAAUUUAGAUUAUCUAUGAUGUUAAAUAUAUAUAUGGAUAAAUAAAAGGUGUUUGAUCCUUAUGUAUUAUGAAAUGCUUGAAUAGAAUUUGGAGGGAGGUAUGUAAAAUGGAAUAGAAGUUGGUUGACCAUUUAGACCCAUAAUUAAUGUUGAAAUAAAUGCUUGAAUGUGGGAAGGUUUGAUAAAAGGUCAAAGAAGAGAAAUUGUGGAUAGUUAAGUAAACAUGCAUGAUUUAAGGAUGAUUUGACUUAGAUGCAACCCGUACGUAUUCUAGAUCGAAAGGAUCGAGUGUUGAGGAAUAAAAACAUCCUAAUGGUUACAGACGCUACUUUCGGAGGGAGUAAAAAGGUCUCGAGUUCGAAGCUUGGCGAGAAGGUCUUGUAGGACCUAUCGUGCCACCCUUAGGCGUGGCGAAUACGAGUAAGUCAAGUGAUGGGGACCCGAAUGUAACACUACCUUGGAGUGGGCCCUCGAGGGGGAUGCCACAGAAUGCUCCAAUGGAAGAGAUGAUGUGGAAAGUAGAGCACCAGAUGAGAGACCAAUAUCCACAUCUUUCUUGGAAUCCAGUAAUUGAAAUUUUGAGGUCAAAAUUUUAUUUUAUGGGGGAUAGCGCUGUAAAGCCUAACCUUAUAAAAUACCUGUCAUGACAUACAUGUGAUGGAUAAUCUGUUUGCAUGCUAGGAGAGUUCCGAAAAAUUUACAAAAAUCGAUAUUGUACCUAGAGGUACAAUAAAGUUGUUUCAAGCGUCGAACUAGAUCAAAUAGAGAUUUUAGGGUGAAAUUGAAAAUUAUACAGUCCAGGAAUGAUUUAAAAUGGUGAUUUGGAGUUUGAGGAUCAAAUUGGAGUCAAACAGGAAAUUUCACUAUCUAGGGGUAAAAUGAUAAUUUUGCCACUCAAGGACAAAAUGGAAAAUUUUUUGAAAGAUUUUGAUCACAUUUGACUUAUUGGAGUGUGAUUUGAGGUUGAGAAGUGAAAAAUUAUAAUCCUGAUAUUUUUCGGAGCAUAGGGGUAAAAUGGUAAUUUUACCACCCCAAUGGCAAAAUUGUAAUUUUACACCACCAACACUUGUCACGCUCAUAGAAUUCAUCCAUUGACUUUUUAUGUUAUGGAUAAGUGAGAAAAUAUAUGUGGUGGAGAUAAAAAGUUUAAAUAUUUAAAUUUUUAAAAAUGGACCAAUGGAAACAUGCCAUGUGUCAAGCUUAGAAUAUUUUAUUAUUCCUUUUAAAAAUAGCCUAUAAACCUCCCAUUUCUCUCCAAAAAUUCAGCCAAGCAAGGAAAAGAGGGAAACAAAGAAAGAACAAACCCUAGGUGAAGAAUUUCAAGAGAAAAAGUGUGAAAAUUCAAUGAAACAAGUGACAAAAGGUAAAAUUUCUUGAUUUUGACUUGUGAUCUACCUUUCCCAUGCAUUUCUCCUCAUUUUCCAUGGUUAAAUUACAUUUUUUCAUGAUGAAUUCAUGGCUGGCCAAAUGGGUACGGAGAGAGAAUGAUGUUGGAUUGAUUUGAUUUUAAGUUAUGUUAGAGUUUUUAGUUAGUUUACCAUGUCUAGAAACAAAACAACAUGAAAAGAAUUCAUUUUCCCCAUCACCCAUCAAUGGCCGAACCUACCUUGUAUUGAGUGAGGAUGAAUUUGAUUUUAUUUUAGGAGAAUUGGUUAGAAAAUGAUGAAUUAUGGUUUGGAAAAAUAGUAAGAAAAAUCACGGUGUUAAUGCACCAUUAUUGACCAAAAAUUUCAAGAAGAAAAGUGAAGAUAGUUUUGCCAAAUUUUAGGUUAUUUGACUUGUGUUUGGUGAAUUAAGAUAUUGGAAAAGAAAUGGAGCAAUUUGGAGCUAAAUUGGACGCAUUGGCCAAUUAAUCAGGUGAUAAGACGAAUUAGGUCGAUACCGAAUUUAGAUGGUUACCAGUGCACUUUGCAUUUCAUAUCAUGCAUUAGUAGUCUAAAUUAGUUUAAUUUCGAUUUAGUAACAAUGUAGUAAGUUUCUCGAUUUUGGUAUCGUGUCAAGGUGGUGAGUCGUUCGAUAAAGGCAAGGGAAUUGCACCAAAGGACUAGUAGUCUGAGUACUUCGAAAAUCUACACUCUAGACAUUGUGAGUAAACUUAUUGUCAUUUUAAUUAUCUAGGGUGCUUUUUAAAUGAUUUCGUGAAUUCUAUGGAAAAAGGGAUUUAAAAAGGUAAUUUUCAUGUUUUAUGAAUAAAUGUGUUUCAAUGAAAUUAAUUUAUAAAUUGUUUUGAAAUUAAUAAUGAUGUUGAAAAAUAGAGUACACGGAGACUGUUAAUUGUUGCAAUUCGAUUGUUUAAAUUGAUUGGCUUAUGAUAAAUCGAGCAUGAUUGGCUGGUUGGCAACUGUAUUGAAAUACGGAUUUUUUGUUUGCCUUGAAAGGCUAUGAAUAAAAUAAUUGCCAUGUCAUGCUAUUGCAAAUUUUAAUGAAUUGGUGGAUUAUAUAUUAAUUAAUCACUGCAAUAGAGGGUUUCUGUGGACCAGCCUUUUAGAGGGGCACGGUAAACCCUAUUAUAUUCUUACCUCAAAUGAAGAGGCGCGUAGGGUAUCUCCUGGGGUAAAGCUUAGGGUUCACUUCACGCCAAACCACCACGUGAGGGGGAACUCAGCCAACGCCAAGGAACGGCUAUGUUUUCAAAAUAAAAACAUGAUUUAUGCGAAAUGUGAAUUUUUAACAACCUUGGCGUCUCAAUAGGAUGCCUCGGCCAAGGUGUCCCCGAGAAUGGAUUUAUGGCAUAGCCUAGUUUUAUAAGAUUCAUAAGCCUCUUUACGUAUUUUGAAUGAAAUGUGUUCUAAUGCUGUGACCCAGUUUACGAUGAUUUACUUGAUCGUCUCCAUGUACUCAACUCUAGAUGUUUAUGAUGAUGUUUGUUUACUCACUGGGAUUUUAUAAUCUCACCACCCCAUUUCCAUCC
rnacentral:lncRNA from 1 species